CUAAAGUUCGAUUCAUAGCAGACUAUCUACUUGAAACAUUCUUUUAAGCUUUCCAUUGGUACUAUUAUUUCUAGGGUGUCGAAUUCAUAUCUUUUGAAGGAUGGGUUUUGUGCUUUUCCCUUUUUUGAAUUGUCCUUUCAUAUGUGACUGGGAGAUGACAUUUGGUUGAGUUGUUGUUCCUCUUCUCUGAGUUGGCUUUGUCUAGAAUUGGGUUUCUUUGGAACAGCUAAAUGUUGCUAAAUUUGCUGUCAGGUUAUGGAGAUACAGACUUUAGGGAAGCCAAUUGAUUUUUUUUGUUGGAGAAGGUCUUGUUUGUAAACAUCCUUCAUUUCUUCAGAUUAUUUUAAUGAGCUUUACAGAUUGAAAACUUAUUAUGAAGUUAUAGAUGAGAUAUAUAAUCAAGCUGAUCAUUUGGAGCCAUGGAUGAUUGGAAAUGGUAAGGGCCCUAUGACAGCAUUUUGUCUGUUGUACUAGUUUUUCACUAUGAAGCUCAUAGUCAAGCA